AUUGAACGCUGGCGGCAGGCCUAACACAUGCAAGUCGAGCGAGCGGCGGACGGGGGAGUAAUGUAUGGGGACUGCCCGAUAGAGGGGGAUAAAAACUGGAAACGGUAGCUAAUACCGCAUACUAUCGGAAAACCCAUAUGGGAUUAUCUAGUAGGUGCGGUAAUGGCUCACCUAGGCGACGAUCCCUCGCUGGUAUGAGAGGAUGAUCAGCGACACUGGAACUGAGACACGGCCCAGACUCCUACGGAGGCAGCAGUGGGGAAUAUUGCACAAAGGGCGCAAGCCUGAUGCAGACAGGCCGCGUGUAUGAAGAAGGCCCUAGGGUUUUAAAGUACUUUCAGUCGGGAGGCGUUACCGACAGAAGAAGCACCGGCUAACUCCGUGCCAGCAGCCGCGGUAAUAC
rnacentral:rRNA from 1 species